GUCAGGCUAAGUGGAGAUGCUGACAAAUCCGAGACUGCAGCUAGCCAGGCCUGAAGUAGAGGCUGGCAAGCAGAAAACGGUAAGCGGUGAGGCUCCCUGAGGGAUUCCAAUGAGUUCUCUUUCUUUGGAAGCAUGACGGGGGUCCUGGGGACCAGUGUACUGCCACUAUGGGCUGGGGUGUUUCUGCCCUGCUCACUAGCACUGCAGAGCUGAGGUGGAGUGCUGGGAGGCUCCCUCCUUGGCCUGUGGGCUUCCUUUCUAACCUCUACUGUCCUCCUCUCUCCCUUUUCUCCACCACUGUGUGACCUCCCAACCUAGGCCUCCCCAGCCUGUGGUUCAGAGCUUCAAGGCAGAUCUCCCAGUGAGCUGUCCUGCACCGCUGCUGCUGAGGACAAAGCAAGCAAAGGUCUUUUCUGACUUUGGUUUAGAGGAGGUGACACAAAACCAUGGUUUCUGGAGUUGUUUUUUGUCGCUGCUACCAUCCUCUGGCUCAGGAGCAGCUAGGCUUCUUGGCACCACCGCUCAGCAUUCCAUCUCCCAGUGUCCAAGCGCUUUCCACCCAGGUGAGUGGGUUCAGCAUUGCUACCCAGUGCUGGGAAGCCCAGGGUCUGUUGACUACUCCUGAAGCGUUAUGCCCAAUACCCAUAA